UCUACGAGGUUGAUGCGGAGUUUCACCCAGCCUGGACCAGAAGUACUUCUUUCAGAAUUAUCUAAUAUACUGAGCUAAUAAUAGAAUACUGCAAAAUCUUCUCUAAGUGCCUGAUACCUCAGUGGCCUAAUAAUUAACUUUCUGGGGACCGAGGCUUUGUUUUUAUCCAAGAAAAAUGUGUUCCGCCUAUCGACCAAUGAGCCCUGUUCUUGGCAGCACGUAUUUCCACAAGCAACAAUCUGCAGUGAUUAUGACAGAGCAAACUGCGAUACAAGAAAGCUAUCCAUAGAUGGCCAGAAAGAAGCUACCUGGAGCCUGGGAAUCCUGAUGUCCACUCCUCUAGUUAACCCUUUUCCUGAAUAUAGGAUUAUCCCAGCAGGAUUGAACCUCUUUUGU